GGUAGAUAGAGAGGGUGGUAGAGGUAGUGUAGUGGGUAGAUAGAGAGGGUGGUAGAGGUAGUGUAAAAGGGUAAUCUCCUAUUUAGACGGUCACAGUCCAGUGAUUGUGUUGUUGACGAACACAGGGGUGUUUAAGAGGUCAGUGAACACACACACACACACACACACACACCCACAGAUAGAAGGGUCAUUUCACCCCAUUAUCAGCCAGAUGAGCAGACUCUGUUUUUCCAGACGUGAAAUCUAUAGCUGAUCAUCACUGUCACUUUGUAGACAACGAUCAUUACGACUGAGUGACGAGGCCUGAGAAACGUAUUCAAGGAGAUACGGACACAAGGACUGCCCGUCCACGAUAUCAACACUCUGAUAGAGUUCUAACGAGGCAGUUAUUCUGAUGGGUGUUCUAAUGAGGCAGUUAUUCUGAUGUGGUUCUAAUGAGGUAUUUAUUCUGAUGGGUGUUCUAAUGAGGCAUUUAUUCUGAUGGGUGUUCUAAUGAGGCAGUUAUUCUGAUGGGGUUCUAAUGAGGUAGUUAUUCUGAUGGGGGUUCUAAUGAGGCAGUUAUUCUGAUGGGGUUCUAAUGAGGUAGUUAUUCUGAUGGGGGUUCUAAUGAGGCAGUUAUUCUGAUGUGGUUCUAAUGAGGUAUUUAUUCUGAUGGGUGUUCUAAUGAGGCAGUUAUUCUGAUGGGUGUUCCAAUGAGGCAGUUAUUCUGAUAUGGUUCUAAUGAGGUAGUUAUUCUGAUGGGUGUUCUAACGAGGCAGUUAUUCUGAUGGGGUUCUAAUGAGGUAGUUAUUCUGAUGGGGGUUCUAAUGAGGCAGUUAUUCUGAUGGGGUUCUAAUGAGGUAUCUAUUCUGAUGGGGUUCUAAUGAGGCAGUUAUUCUGAUGUUGUUCUAAUGAGGUAGUUAUUCUAAUGGGGGUUCUAAUGAGGUAGUUAUUCAGAUGGGGGUUCUAAUGAGGCAGUUAUUCAGAUGGGGGUUCUAACGAGG
ensembl:lncRNA